AUUGAACGCUGGCGGCAUGCCUUACACAUGCAAGUCGAACGAGUGGCGAACGGGUGAGUAAUACAUCGGAACGUGCCCAGUCGUGGGGGAUAACUACUCGAAAGAGUAGCUAAUACCGCAUACGAUUGGAGCGGCCGAUGGCAGAUUAGGUAGUUGGUGGGAUAAAAGCUUACCAAGCCGACGAUCUGUAGCUGGUCUGAGAGGACGACCAGCCACACUGGGACUGAGCCACGGCCCAGACUCCUACGGGAGGCAGCAGUGGGGAAUUUUGGACAAUGGGCGAAAGCCUGAUCCAGCAAUGCCGCGUGCAGGAUGAAGGCCUUCGGGUUGUAAACUGCUUUUGUACGGAACGCGGUACCGUAAGAAUAAGCACCGGCUAACUACGUGCCAGCAGCCGCGGUAAUUC
rnacentral:rRNA from 1 species